rnacentral:rRNA from 1 species
AAGUCGUGCACGCUGGAGGGUGUCCUCUCACAUAAUAAUCCAUCUCACCCUUUGUGCAUCACCGCGUGGGCACCCUUUGGGAUCGGACCGAUCUCGGAAGGGGGCCCGCGUUUUCACACAAACCCCCCCAUCUAAAAGUGUAGAAUGUCCUCAUUUAUGCAAUAAAUACAACUUUCAACAACGGAUCUCUUGGCUCUCGCAUCGAUGAAGAACGCAGCGAAAUGCGAUACGUAAUGUGAAUUGCAGAAUUCAGUGAAUCAUCGAAUCUUUGAACGCACCUUGCGCCCCUUGGCAUUCCGAGGGGCACACCCGUUUGAGUGUCGUGAAAUUCUCAAAAACCUUUUUCUUUUUGGGAAAGGGUUUUUGGACUUGGAGGCUUUUUGCUGGCUUCACCUUGAAGUGAGCUCCUCCUAAAUGAAUCAGUGGGGUCCGCUUUGCCGAUCCUUGACGUGAUAAGAUGUUUCUGCGUCUUUGGGUUUGGCACUGUCACCUGCUUCUAACUGUCUCAUUGACAAUGAUGGUGCUCCGGUCACCACCGCUCUUAUCGGUGGGAGGCUUGACCCACAAAAACAAAACCUUGACCUCAAAUCGGGUGAGACUACCCGCUGA